CACGUAGGGGGCGAGCGUUGUCCGGAUUUAUUGGGCGUAAAGAGCUCGUAGGUGGCUUAGUAAGUCGGGUGUGAAACCUCCAGGCUCAACCUGGAGACGCCACCCGAUACUGCUAUAGCUUGAGUCCGGUAGGGGAGCGUGGAAUUCCUGGUGUAGCGGUGAAAUGCGCAGAUAUCAGGAGGAACACCAGCGGCGAAGGCGGCGCUCUGGGCCGGUACUGACACUGAGGAGCGAAAGCGUGGGGAGCAAACAGG
rnacentral:rRNA from 3 species